rnacentral:rRNA from 1 species
GACAGAGGUGCCGAGCGUUAGGCGGAAUCACUGGGCUUAAAGCGUGUGUAGGCGGGUCGUUAAGUGUCUUGUGAAAUCCCCCGGCUCAACCGGGGAAUGGCUGGGCAUACUGGCGAUCUUGAGCAGUCUAGGGGCAGAUGGAACAAGUGGUGGAGCGGUGAAAUGCGUAGAUAUCACUUGGAACGCCAAAGGUGAAAACAGGUAGCUGGGAGUGUGCUGACACUGAGACACGAAAGCCAGGGGAGCAAACGGG